ACGCUCGACACCUACGGAGGCAGCAGUGGGGAAUAUUGGGCAAUGGGCGCAAGCCUGACCCAGCAACGCCGCGUGAAGGAAGAAGGCCCUCGGGUUGUAAACUUCUUUUAACAGGGACGAAGCAAGUGACGGUACCUGUUGAAUAAGCCACGGCUAACUACGUGCCUGCAGCCGCGGUAAUCUGAGCGGGCUGGCAAGGC
rnacentral:rRNA from 1 species